CACAACACUGCCAAUAUAUCCAGGAUUCUCAGAAAGUACUAAGCCCGUUGGUAAUAAAUAUACAUAACAGCAGUAUGUUUUCUUAACGCAUUACUGGUUCCGAGAAAAUUGUGGUAAUCAGCAAAUUAAUUAAACUGCCGAUAAAUACAAACUAAAGAAUAAAUGUUGAGACACACAUUGCUGAUCUUACUUUUCCUAUUGGCUUGGUGUCAAAAAAAUUACAAUCCUCGUUCGUUCAAAGACUUAGACCCAGAUGAGCCUAUUGAAGGUUUUUUAGCUCCCGACAAAUGUCUCUAUAGUUACUAUCUAGUAGAGAUUUACAAUAUUAUAAUUAUUGCUUAUGGUGUAUGGACAAAAUGGAAAUUAAAAGUAUUGGAAAAGAAAUAUUAUGAGGAACUUAAAAAACGCGAUGAACUGAAAAAGGAACGUAAAGAACUUGAAAAGGAACUUAUCAAGGUAUUUGAUAAAAUUAAAAAGAGACAUGAAGAACUUAUAAAGGAAAAAACAGAACUUUCAGAGAAAAAUGAAGAACAUACAAAGAAAUAUAAAGAACUUGCAAACAAAUCUGAAGCGUUGGAAGAACUCUUGGAACAGAAGGAUAAAUAUCUUUCGUUUGAAUUUUAAGUAGAAGAAACACAAAUAGGUUUUUGUGAAUGUAAGGAAACUUAAUCAGGAACCCAGGAGAUCAGAUGAGAAGCAUGAAUUUCAGGCUUACACGGUGGCAUCGUUUCUGAGGGAUUACGUCACGAUGCUCUUGAGUUUGAAAAUUUAGACUUUUCAUCUGCUGUGCUGACAAAGAUAUCAACGUGGUUAUUUAUUCAGGUUUUUAGAUGUUAUAAUUUAGAUGUGUUACCUAGCUAGUUAAAAUACUUACCAUUGGUUUCCUCUUUGCUACUCUAAAUUGGUAAUAAAAAUAAAAAUAAUAUUUAAUUAGCUGUUGCCUUACAUUUAAAUGUAUGCAGUAUGAAAGUUUGACAAAGAUAAAAAAAAAACUAGAGAAACAUAGUGAUGUAAUCUACAUCUGAACGUUUUCAUAGUUUUAGAAAUUGGUUUCAGUUCCUCUGUGAAAAUGAUAGUUUCAGAAAAUAUAGAAACCCAAUAAACUGAUAAUGUGUAAAUCUGCAUCUCUGUGUGUGUUGGUGUGCGCUAAGUGAUUUUUAAGUUAAAGCAGUUUUAUACCAGUGUCAUGUGUUGUCCGGUUUUGUGUGCUCCGAAGCUUUAAGCAGUUAUUGGCCAGUUUUGGAAAACAUGAAUUGUGAAGUUAGUGAUUUAAAUGUAUAGACCUCUUGAUUCUUGUAAACUCAAAAAAAUAUUAGUGAGAGAUUUAAUUUACAUGGGAGUCUCUAAUCCAUGUACUAAAUAGAAUGGUGUGUACAGCAAUAGAAAAAAACACUUUCUUUAUCUGUUGAUCUAAAGACUUAUUACAUUUAUUUAAGCAAAUAAACAUUUAAACAUUAACUACUACAGCUAAAGAAAUGUAUUUAUCUUCUUGUUUUAGUUCAUUUUAGCGUGUUUAUUCAUUUUUUAUAGCUCGGAAAUCCAUUUUAAGUAAUAUUUUUAAGAUUACUCUGUUGAAUUUUAGAUUUGAAUAAAAAUGAUAAUUAUUGUCUGUUGU